GGAUAACAGUUGGAAACAACUGCUAAUACCGCAUAAGCGCACACUGUCGCAUGACAGAGUGUGAAAAUUUCCGGAGGUAUACGAUGGACCCGCGUCUGAUUAGCCAGUUGGCGGGGUAACGGCCUACCAAAGCAACGAUCAGUAGCCGGCCUGAGAGGGUGGACGGCCACAUUGGGACUGAGACACGGCCCAAACUCCUGCGGGAGGCAGCAGUGGGGGAUAUUGCACAAUGGGGGAAACCCUGAUGCAGCGACGCCGCGUGAGUGAAGAAGCAUUUCGGUGUGUAAAGCUCUAUCAGCAGGGAAGAAGAAUGACGGUACCUGACUAAGAAGCCCCGGCUAACUACGUGCCAGCAGCCGCGGUAAUACGUAGGGGGCAAGCGUUAUCCGGAUUUACUGGGUGUAAAGGGAGCGUAGACGGCAAUGCAAGCCAGAUGUGAAAACCCGCAGCUCAACUGGGGGAGUGCAUUUUGAACUGUGUAGCUGGAGUGCAGGAGAGGUAAGCGGAAUUCCUGGUGUAGCGGUGAAAUGCGUAGAUAUCAGGAGGAACACCAGUGGCGAAGGCGGCUUACUGGACUGUAACUGACGUUGAGGCUCGAAAGCGUGGGGAGCAAACAGGAUUAGAUACCCUGGUAGUCCACGCUGUAAACGAUGAAUAAUAGGUGUCGGGGGUUUACGGACGCCCGGUGCCGCAG
rnacentral:rRNA from 1 species